CCAACUUGAACAUUCCUGCUCUCACAGGCUGUUCUGGUAAUAAAGAAUCCCAGCUGACUUCAAAUGAGCUCAUUUUAUAAAUCUGUUUAUUUCCAUGCCAAUGAAUAGAUGAGAGAAAUAUUGCAUUAAAAAUAUUUGUACAGAAAUAUACAGUAAGUUGUAUCUGCUUUAUGUUUUGGACUGACUGUUCAAUGAAUCCUUAUGAUUCCAGCAUUUUUUUCAAUUUGAAUGUAUUUUGCAUUGAAUCUGAUUGAUCUAAUAAUAAAAGUGCAGGCUUAUAUUAAAUCUAACACGUUGUUUCUACAGGGUUGACAAAACAAAACAUACACACACAACAUUUUAGCAAAAUGUUUUCCAAGUUGUUUUUUUUUUUUUUUAGAUAUCUCUUAACAAUGACUUUAACCAAAGAAGGAUAUAAAGCUUCUUAACACACACCAAGUUGGCAACAGUGUCAUGUGUCAUAUGUGAUAUAUGACACAUGACACUGUUCCCAACACUGGAAAUAAUCAUCUUUGAGCUGCUAACAUAAUCGCACCACUCCAUGGUUGAUUAUUUUUCUAUGACGACACCGUGUCAUGUUUUAUUCCGUAUUAACCAGACAUGACGUAGACCAGGCCACUGUGACCAGCAAACGCACAGCAAGACCAGAACAUAGUCAGCAAUCCACAACGGACACCUCUUUACUCAUGAUCUUACCUAUAUGCCAGAACACACCUUCGUUUGGAGUCAGGAGACAUAAAUAUUUAAGCACUUCAUUGUGUUCGUAAUGUCGUGAUGAAACAUUGAAACGUUUCACAGACAUAUGCUGUAAAUAUACAUACAUGAGUAGGGUCAGUGUUUUGGUUUUAAGAUGCCACACACACAGACACACACACAAACACACAUAAACACACACACACACACAUAAUGUCAAGGGUCUGUGAAGAAUAUGACCAACAUGUCCAGUCCUGAAGAGAAUUCAAGAAAUGCAACCAAGUACAAGUCAGAAUGAGACUGUGAACUGAAAAGGAGGAACACAGUGAAGACGGAGUGACUGUUAACAAAAGACACAAAAUACCGUAUAGACUCAUAUAAGAAAAUGAAAGGGUUUGAGAUACAAGUCAUCAUCAGGCUGCCAGAUGGAAAGGGCGAAAAAAAAAAAAGGGAAAAUAAAGCUCUGCUUAGCCUGAAGGAAACGCUACCCCAUCCUGUCAACAUCCUUUACACACACAUUCCUUCAGUCAUAAGCAGACUACUCGGCUUGGAUCACUGUAAUACACUGCACACACAUACUGUACAAGCACCUCAAUAAUACUGAGAGGAGAAAAAUAAAAGCUACUUGAAUUCA